AGAGUUUGAUCCUGGCUCAGGAUAAACGCUGGCGGCGCACAUAAGACAUGCAAGUCGAACGGACUUAACUCAUUCUUUUAGAUUGAGAGCGGUUAGUGGCGGACUGGUGAGUAACACGUAAGCAACCUGCCUAUCAGAGGGGAAUAACAGUGAGAAAUCAUUGCUAAUACCGCAUAAGCUAGUAGCAUCGCAUGAUGUAGCUAGAAAAGGAGCAAUCCGCUGAUAGAUGGGCUUGCGUCUGAUUAGCUAGUUGGUGGGGCAACGGCCUACCAAGGCGACGAUCAGUAGCCGGACUGAGAGGUUGAACGGCCACAUUGGGACUGAGAUACGGCCCAGACUCCUACGGGAGGCAGCAGUCGGGAAUAUUGCGCAAUGGAGGAAACUCUGACGCAGUGACGCCGCGUAUAGGAAGAAGGUUUUCGGAUUGUAAACUAUUGUCGUGAGGGAAGAAAUUGACAGUACCUCAGGAGGAAGCUCCGGCUAACUAUGUGCCAGCAGCCGCGGUAACACAUAGGGAGCAAGCGUUAUCCGGAUUUAUUGGGUGUAAAGGGUGCGUAGACGGGAAAUUAAGUUAGUUGUGAAAUCCCUUGGCUUAACUGAGGAACUGCAACUAAAACUGGUUUUCUUGAGUACUGGAGAGGAAAGUGGAAUUCCUAGUGUAGCGGUGAAAUGCGUAGAUAUUAGGAGGAACACCAGUGGCGAAGGCGACUUUCUGGACAGUAACUGACGUUGAGGCACGAAAGUGUGGGGAGCAAACAGGAUUAGAUACCCUGGUAGUCCACACUGUAAACGAUGG
rnacentral:rRNA from 1 species